rnacentral:tRNA from 1 species
GUCUCAAUAGCUCAGUGGAUAGAGCCUUGGCACAGUAUGCCAGAGGCCCUGGGUUCGAGUCCUGGUUGAGACU